rnacentral:rRNA from 1 species
GAUGAACGCUAGCUACAGGCUUAACACAUGCAAGUCGAGGGACCGGCGCACGUGUGAGUAACACGUAUCCAACCUGCCCUUUACUGGGGGAUAGACUUUCGAAAGAAAGAUUAAUACCCUAUAUAACGGAUGGGGUUGCGUUCUAUUAGGUUGUUGGUGAGGUAAAGGCCCACCAAGCCUUCGAUGGAUAGGGGUUCUGAGUGGAAGGGCCCCCAAAAUGGAACAGCGACACUGUCCAAACUCCGACGCGACGCAGCAGUGUGGAAUAUUGUUCAAUGGGCGGUAGCCUGAACCAGCCAAUUAUCUGGAAGGAUCCUGGCUUAUGGGUCUUAAACUUCUUUUAGAUACGAAUAGGUAUUAUAUGAAGAAGGAGCGGAUAACUCCGUGCCAGCAGCCGCGGAAAUUC